rnacentral:rRNA from 1 species
AUGUGGACCCGUCUUCGUGAGCGCUAUCAGCCCUCUGGUGAUGCCUUAUACCUCUCUGUGAUCCGUCAGGAGCAUGCUCUUCAGCAGGGUGACUCUACUGUUGAUGACUUCUAUGCACAGAGUUCUGCUAUGAGUUAUCUUCGUAGUGCUGGGUGUCGUACCUGCCCCUGUUGCCAGGCUGUCCAGGCCAAUUUGGAGUUUCAUCGCGUCUAUGAGUUCUUGUCUCGGCUCCGUAAGGAGUUUGAGCCCCGGUGUGCUCAGGUGUUUGCUCGUGGCCGUAUUUCUCUCAUGGAGGCGCUUUCUGAGAUUCGUGCUGAGGAGACUCGCUUACGUGGUGCUGGUUUGCUGGAGGUUCCCUCUAUGCUCGCUACUCGUGCUCCUACGCCACUUGCUCCACCGACCCCUUCUCGCUCGAGUGCUCCGCCGCUCUUGCCCACUCCUUUUGGAGGCUCAGGUCGCCCCCGUCCACAUUGCGCCUAUUGCAACAAUGAUGGUCAUCUUGAGUCUCAGUGCUACACAAAGAAGAAACACCUGCGCAAGGCUCGAUCAUCAUCUUCCGGGACUUCGUCA